GUCAGAGCUUCUAAUAAAUUAAGAGAAGCUAAAAGCCAGAUGCUAUGUCAGUCUCCCAGUUUUUAAAUGAUCGCAACUGGGAGUCUUGCAACUCUGUCUCCCAGGCUGUAAGGCAGUGGCACAAUCCUAGCUCACUGCAGCCUCGAACCCCUAGGCUCCAAAGAUCCUCCUGCCUCAGACUACCGAUUAGCUCGAACUACAGGCAUGUGUCACCAUGCGUGGCUAGUUUUCACAAUGUUUGUAGAAAUGGGGCCAUCUCACUAUGUUGCCCAGGCUGGUCUCAAACUCCUGGGCUCAAGCAAUCCUCCCUGCUCAGCUUCCCAAUUAGCUAGAACUACAGGUGUGCACCACCACACCUGGCUACAAACUCUCCUUGUCACCCCCUGUUGACAGGUCUCUUUCCUUCACAGGCUGAGACAACUCCAAUUCAACUCUGAAUCCCCAAUACAGGACCUGCCCAGGGAACAGGGCUCAGACAUUUAUGCUGCGAAAUACUCAGCUUUUGGGGCUCAGCGUCCUUUUCUGCAAAAAGAGUUCCCCUCCCAAGAGGAAAUCCCCUAAGCCUAAGGACAGGAGCAAUUGGUCCUGGUGCCAGGCACAGAACAGAUGCUCAGAAGAUACGGUUGAUCCUGUCUGGGUGCAGUGGCUCACGCCUGUAAACCCAGCACUUUGCGAGGCUGGGAUGGGAGGAUUGCUGGAGGCCAGGAGUUCAAGACCAGCCUGGGCAACAUAGUGAGAUCCCCAUCUCUAUAAAAAUAAAAAUUAGCUGAGCAUGAUGGUGUGCGCCUGUAGUUCCAGCUACUCGGGAGACUGAGGUGGAAGGAUAGUCUGAGCCAGGAGUUCGAGGCUGCAGUGAGCUACGAUCAUGACACUACACUCCAGCCUGGGAGACGCAGCAAGACCCUAUUUAAAAAAAAAAAAUGGUAUGGUUAAUCUGCCUUUACUGAUUACAAAUCAAUAAAUUUGUAUUAUCGUAAUAAAUCUGUCUUUAUUGAUUACAAGGCACUUUCUCAUCCCCCAUCACCUAAGACAACUGCAUAAAGACC
rnacentral:lncRNA from 10 species